GAAAUGCGAUAAGUAGUGUGAAUUGCAGAAUUCAGUGAAUCAUCGAAUCUUUGAACGCACAUUGCGCCCUUUGGUAUUCCUUAGGGCAUGCCUGUUCGAGCGUCAUUUAAACCUUCAAGCUCAGCUUGGUGAUGGGUGACUGUCCUCCCCUCGCGGGGGGGACUCGCCUCAAAAACAUUGGCGGCCGGUACAUUGGCUUCGAGCGCAGCAGAAACGCGGUCUCGAGUCCGGUGGAUCGGCUCCCAUAAGCCUUCUUUUUUAUUUUGACCUCGGAUCAGGUAGGGAUACGCGCUGAACUUAAGC
rnacentral:misc_RNA from 1 species